rnacentral:rRNA from 1 species
GAUAAACGCUGGCGGCGUGCUUCAGGCAUGCAAGUCGAACGGGUGUCUACCUUCGGGUAGCCACUAGUGGCGGACGGGUGAGUAACGCGUUAGCAACCUGCCCAAAGGUGGGGAAUAACUAACCGAAAGGUUAGCUAAUACCGCAUGUGAUAGCUGGUUCUUGGACUGGUUAUGAAAGGCUUCGGUCGCCUUUGGAGGGGCUUGCGUCAGAUUAGCUUGUUGUGGGGUAAUGGCCUACCAAGGCGACGAUCUGUAGCUGGUCUGAGAGGAUGGUCAGCCACACGGGGACUGAGAUACGGCCCCGACUCCUACCGGGA